rnacentral:lncRNA from 1 species
CUUAGCUCAGAAAGUCAAUCACUUUCAGUGGUAUUCCCUUAUAACGCCUCAGGCGAUUUUUAUGGAAUAAGUGAUCAUACACAGCUCAGUUCAGAAGAGUUGACAGGACAAAGCUCCAUAUCUUUGUCUCUUAAAUUGAAGGACUGUGUCACUGUUGAAGGGUCCAUCUACAGUGUGACUCUGACAGCAACAGUCCUGUUGCUGGGAUCACGGGAGCCCUGGAAGCAACCACCUGCCAACUUCCCCAAGGCCAAAGGGACUCAUGACACCACAGUGAGCCAUUCAUGUCCUGCAGAAGUUGGUUAUGUUGCACCUCUCUUAUCUUUUUAAAAUUAAAUAUCCAUAGGGCUGGGGAUUUAGCUCAGUGGUUCGGUGGCCUGCCUUGCAAGCGCAAAGACCCGAGUUCAA